GCCAGGCGUGGUGGCGCAGGCCUGUAAUCCCAGUGGCUCGGGAGGCUGAGACAGGAGGAUCCUGAGUUCAAAGCCAGCUUCAGCAACGAUGAGGUGCUAAGCAACUCAAUGAGAUCCUGUCUCUA
rnacentral:sRNA from 1 species